UGGGGGAGGAGGUGACAGAGUGACUGAGGGAGGGGUGGCAGAGUGAGGGAGGGGGUGACAGGUGGCAGACUGACUGAGUGACCUCCCUCACUCUGCCACCUGUCACCCCCUCCCUCACUCUGUCACCCAUACACCCUGCCAUCUGUUACCCCCCUUUCACACUGUCACCAUUUCCCUCACUCACUCUGCCACCCCCUACACCCCCACA